AUUGAACGCUAGCGGGAUGCCUUACACAUGCAAGUCGAACGGAGUGGCGAACGGGUGAGUAAUGUAUCGGAACGUGCCCAGUAGCGGGGGAUAACUACGCGAAAGCGUAGCUAAUACCGCAUACUAUUGGAGCGGCCGCUAUCGGAUUAGCUAGUUGGUGGGGUAACGGCUCAACAAGGCGACGAUCCGUAGCUGGUUUGAGAGGACGACCCGCCACACUGGGACUGAGACACGGCCCAGAAUCCGACGGGAGGCAGCAGUGGGGAAUUUGGGACAAUGGGGGAAACCCUGAUCCAGCAAGCCCGCGGUGACGAUGAAGGCCGUCGGGUUGUAAAGAACUUUUGGCAGGAAAGCGGUACCUGCAGAAUAAGCACCGGCUAACUACGUGCCAGCAGCCGCGGUAAUUC
rnacentral:rRNA from 1 species